CCUACGGGAGGCAGCAGUGGGGAAUCUUGCGCAAUGGGCGAAAGCCUGACGCAGCCAUGCCGCGUGAAUGAUGAAGGUCUUAGGAUUGUAAAAUUCUUUCACCGAGGACGAUAAUGACGGUACUCGGAGAAGAAGCCCCGGCUAACUUCGUGCCAGCAGCCGCGGUAAUACGAAGGGGGCUAGCGUUGCUCGGAAUUACUGGGCGUAAAGGGAGCGUAGGCGGAUAGUUUAGUCAGAGGUGAAAGCCCAGGGCUCAACCUUGGAAUUGCCUUUGAUACUGGCUAUCUUGAGUACGGAAGAGGUAUGUGGAACUCCGAGUGUAGAGGUGAAAUUCGUAGAUAUUCGGAAGAACACCAGUGGCGAAGGCGACAUACUGGUCCGUUACUGACGCUGAGGCUCGAAAGCGUGGGGAGCAAACAGGAUUAGAUACCCUGGUAGUCCACGCUGUAAACGAUGAGUGCUAGUUGUCGGCAUGCAUGCAUGUCGGUGACGCAGCUAACGCAUUAAGCACUCCGCCUGGGGAGUACGGUCGCAAGAUUAAAACUCAAAGGAAAUUGACGGCUGAGAGNGCGAGACGACGACGAGGGAGGAGG
rnacentral:rRNA from 1 species